GCAAAGCAUGCGUAAAGAAAUACGGUAAGGUAAAAAAAUUAUUAAUUGAUAAUUAAGUGUGAUACAAGUACCACCAGUACGCUAGAAAUAGCAGUUGAAAGACGACUACAAUUAGAAAUUUUCACUGUUCCACAUUAACUGAAAUCGGGGGGGAAUGUGCAGAAAUUCUAAGCCCCCCGUACUAAUAACGAAAAGAACCGUGAAAAUUAGUGAAAAUUGGUGGUUGCAGUCGUCUUCUGGCUGCUAUUUUUAGCAUUCGGGUGCUAUUUGUUGCUCAAUUCAUUAUUUAUACAGAUAGAUAUGUUUGUGAGUGCGUGUAUGUGUGAGAGAAAGUGUGUGUGUGUGUGUGUGUGUGUUUCUGUGUCUAGAUCUAUUUUUGUAUGUAAACAUGAAUAAACGUAAAUGUCUAUCUUAAUAUAUAUGUGCGUGUGUCUAUCACGUAUAUCGCUUAUAUAUAUAUACAUAUGUGUGUGUGUAUAUAUAUAUAUAUAUUUUGUCGCGUAUAUAUAUGUGUGCCUGUAUGUGUAUAUACAUAUAUGUAUAUUUAUAUGAGUGUGUGUGUGUGUUUCUGUGUCUAUAUUUGUUUUUGUAUGUAAACAUGAAUAAACGUAUCUGUGUCUACCUCAGUAUAUAUAUGCGUGUGUGUAUCACGUAUAUAUCCCACGUGUAUGUGUGUGUGUGUAUAUAUAUGUGUGUAUGUGUUUAUAUAUAUUUUUAUCGCGUAUAUAUGUGCCUGUAUGUGUACAUAUGUGUAUAUACAUACAUGUAUAUGUAUACAUGAGUGUGUGUGUGUGUGUGCGUAUGUGCAUACACCCACGGUUAUACACCCGCAUACUCACACACCUGCACGCAGUUAAUUUUGUAGCCAAGUCUGUUCGUAUCUUAAUUGACUAAGUGCUCAGAAGUUGUACACAAUGAUAUAUGUAUUUGAAUAUGCGUGUAUGCGUAUACAUUCAUAUUUGUAGCGAUGUAUAUUUCUUCGUAUGUUUGUAUUUAUUGCGUUAGAAUUUAUGUAUAAACAUGUUUACAUACUUUAUAUAUAUUUUAAAAAUAAAUAUAUAUAUAUAUAUACAAGUAUACAUACACUCACAUAUGUAUAUAUAUAUGUAAGUAUAUAUGCAUAAAAGCAUGUAUGUAUCUAUGUAUGUGCAUAUGUGUGUAAAUGUUGAAAUUCUUUGAUUAGUUGUAAUGUCUAGACAAAACUAGACAAUUUCCAAAUUGUUCUUCAGAUAGGUGAAUAUUCUGCAAUUGGAGAAGUUCAAGGGAAACGCCCGAAUCAGAUACCGGCCAAUUACUUCCGGCUAAUUUGUUUUGGAUGCAAUUCCGAAAACUGUUGGAACUACGCGGAUAAUAAAUGAAGGUAAUCUUUCGCAAAUGAUGUUUCGUGGAUAUAGUUUCGCUCCACGAAUUCCUCUUUAGCAACUGAUUCCUUCAACGAUAAAGCAGAAAUUCAUACGAGGAAAUUAAAUUGAUGGGCAUGUACUUUUUUUUUUUUUUAUGUGAAAGGUGGCCAUGCGGCAAGAUUUCUUCCCAUACACAUGGUUUCGGAUUUAGUUCUCCUGCGCAGCAUUUUGAGCAACUAUCUUCUAUAAGCCUCGAAGGGUGUAUGAAAUGCUUUGAGCCUUGUACUUUCAUCAGAAGUCGUGUACCAUGCUUUGUUAUUUUGAGGCUCAAGAUGUUUCAUACACCUCUUAUAUAUAUAUAUAUAUAUAUAUAUAUAUAUAUAUGUAUGGAGAGUUUAUGAAAAAAAACAAUAGAUGAAAACAGGUGGUGUACAAAAUAAACAGAUGUAUUAGUAUAACGCUCAGGAAUAGAAAAAGUCUUUUACGUUUCGAGCCUACGCUCUUCUACAGAAAGGGACACAGAAAAAACAAGGAGAGAAAAAAAAGGAGAGAAAAAAAGAAGAGUUUGUAUGUAUGUGUAUAUAUAUAUAUAUAUAUAUGUAUUUGUGUGUGUGUGUCUUUGCGCCUGUGUUUCUUUCCCACCACCGCUUGAUAAUGGACGUUGGUGUGUCGACGUUUCCGUAUCUAGCAGUUCAGCAAACCAGUACGACACAAUUUCAACUGAUAUGCUGGAAUAAUUUCAUACGCACGUUUCAGGUCUGCGUAUUGAAUACUACGAAAUGCACAAAUUUACGUAGUACGUAAGAUCUUCCUCAGUAAAUAACAUAUACGAUCGGCUUCUCUCAGUUGAUGAGAUACACAAUAGCAGUCAGUUAUUGACUUUUAUUCGUCUUUGCGAGUGUGAUAAGUGUGUGCGUGGCGUGAGUGUUUGUUUGUAUGUGCGUGUUUGUGUAUAUAUAUAUAUAUAUAUAUCUUCUGUUGAGUCUGGGAGAGUCAUUCUCUUUUAGUGCCUUAUUAUUUAACACACUCAGCGGUAAAAUUUCCACUUAUUUCUUAUUUUUAUACUCAUAAAGAAUCUUGCAAACCAAAUCCAAAAAUGAAAUAAUAUAUAUAUAAACACACACACACACAUAUAUAUAUACACACAUAUAUAGAUACAUAUAUACAUAUGCAGAUAUAUAUAUAUAUUGAUAGAUAGAUAGAUAGAUAGAUAGAUAGAUAGAUAGAUAGAUAGAUAGAUAGAUAGAUAGAUAGAUAGAUAGAUAGAUAGAUGGAUAUGUGCAUGUUAUCUUAUGUUUUAUUUUCUUAUUUUUCACUAUAAAAUAGGUGUUCUGUGAGUCCUUAGGCUAAAUAACAAAAUACUUGCUCAAGGUAAACGCAGUGGGACUGAACACAGGAUUAUGUGCUUCAAAAGCCAUCUUCUUACCACACUCCCACCCUGCAUAGAUGCCAGAGACGUUGUAGAAAAAAGUGCUGUAUGGUCACGGAUGUAGGCUUUGCUUAUAAAAUGUGGCAUUCAGUUUUCAGUUGUGGUUCACCUGAGUCUAAACAAUGACGGCAAUCGACAAGAAAAGCGAAGGAGUCAAUAAAAUGCCGUGAUGUGGCGGGUCUAUUUGGUACAAAAAAAUUACUAAUAAUCUUCAGUUACAAUCUAUAUGCGCAAGUAACAAAUAAUUCAUUGAGAAAUUUCGUCAUUGCUUUCCAUAAACUACAUUAUUUUCGCUGGUGGACAAGCCUUUCGUCACUAGCUUGAUUUCUUUUAAAGUAGCAACAACAGCGCCACUUAAAAAAAACAUAAAUGUGUCUGAAGUAUUAUGUACUGUACUACCAUUCUCUGUGUGAAAUAAAUAUUGUUUUACGUCUCAUAAUAAGAGUUGAAGCUUACUGAUUUUUAUUUCAUUAAGAAUAACAUAUUUCACGAUGGGGAAACUUAAAAACUGAUUGGGAAAUAAUUACGCGGUAGGGAAAAAAAAUUACUAAAAAACAAAAAAAAAAAUGACUAUUAGCGACGGAAGCAGUAUUAGUGCCAAAGGGAAAUCUUUAUAGCCAACUUAACGUGGCUGUCUUCUUCGACAAGACAACCACGUUAAAUUAGAUAUGAAGAUUACAUUUCUUCCGUCGCGGAUAAUUAAUCUUUAAUGAGCUUGCUUGGCUAUUUGCGAUAUCAGUGACUGAAAAGAGACUGAAUUUCUGUAUAUUAUGGCAACUUGUUGAAGAGGAGUUGAAGAAUGAUAGAAGUAGAAGAGGAAUGUGAUACGGGCUUCUGAGAUACUCUGAGCUAUUUAACAGUCAAGAGAGACUCUUGCUGUCCCCACCGAGAAAACAAAGAAUUCAUAGUCCCCAAUACUCAUCUUUUACCGCAGUGUUUCUCAAACAAAGAUCCUAGUGAUGUCCCCGGGGGGCGGGGGGGCUGCCAUUGAGGAUGUGUACUAAACUGAGGUAGCGUUUUUUGGAAGUUCCGACACCUACAACAGACGAUUCUCCGCUGCUAUGAUUUAUUUCUGUUUCCAUGCACCAUGCGACUAUACGACAGGACGACUCAGGGUUAAAAGCAACAUUCAGCGUUCUAACGAGUCGUUAGAUAUAAAAAUAUUAAUUAUUAUUAUUUUGAUUACAUCUAAGGCAACGAGCUAGCAGAAUCGUUAGCACGCUGGACAAAAUGCUUUGCAGUAUUUCGCUUGUUGUUACGUUCUGAGUUCAAAUUCCGCAGAGGUCGACUUUGUCUUUCAUCUUUUUUGGGGCCGAUAAAUUAAGUACACGUAUUGGGGUCGAUAUGAUAGCCUUAACCCCUCCCCGCAAUUUUCAGGUCUUGUGCUUAUAGUAGCAAGUAUUAUUUUAAUUAGAUCUUUAACAAAAGGAUGACGGUUGUCUGUGAAAUAUAGCCAUAACGAAAGAUACUCAAGAAUUAGUAAUGGGAGAAUCAUUAUAUAUUUCUUUACUACUCCACAAGGGUCUAAACACAGAGGGGACAAACAAGGACAGAGAAACGGAUUAAUUUGAUUACAUCGACACCAGUGUGUAACUGGUACUUAAUUUAUCGACCCCGAAAGGAUGAAAGGCAAAGUCGACCGCGGCGAAAUUUGAACUCGGAACGUAACGACAUACGAAAUACGGCUACGCAUUUCGCCCGGCGUGCUAACGUUUCUGCCAGCUCGCAACAUGCAUACGAGCGGCCUUAUUUUCGUAAAGUGCUCUACUGUUGUAUGUAUCUAUUUAUUUAUUUAUUUAUUUUGAAUGAGAAAAAGUUGGCUGUCCCUCUCUCGAAAUUUCAUUUUCUAUAUAAAAUGAAAGAAAAACGCUCACAAUGCCCCACCGUAGUUUUGUUUUCAGAGCAACGGAAGAGAUUCCGACAGAUUUAAGCACACACACAGACACACAAACACAAGCACACAUUCGCAAAGAAAAACAAAUGUCAAUAAUUGAAUGUUAUUGUUUAUCGACCUUGAUAAGAUAAAAAGCAAAGCAUACAUCGUUACAGGUUGAACUACCAGCGAAAAGAACCAGCGAAAUACAACGUAAAGCAAUCUGGGACUUCUGUUCUCGUAGGCGAAGAAAAACAAGAAUGUUUUGAUAAUAAAUUAGACGGAAAUACGAUCAUUAAGUGAGUAUUAAAACAAAAACGCAUGCUUUUGCAACUUUUAAUUCCGACUUCUAUUUUUAACAGGUUAAAAGGUGGGAGAUUGUACAGCUCUUUGACAAGUUUUAAAGAUUUCGAGACGAGUGCUAAGAAUGAAGUUGUUCUGAAAUCGGAGAUAUGUCACGAAUUUUUUACGAAAGAAUAAAAAUCUCUUAUUUCAGAAAUGAUCAACCGUGAUGUUAAAUAUUCCCACGAUUCUAGUUUACCAUUAAUUCUUCUUAAUUUUCACUAAAGGCACAAGUGCUGUUGUAGUUUACCAUUAAUGAAAAGAAAUACAAUUUCAUUCAAGCUUUCCAAGCUGUUUCCAUGUUUCACAAUUUUGCCCAGAACGGUUUUCGCAGCUAGAACUAUAGUAUAAAACAUUAGUUUCUAAUUUUGUCACAAAGCCAGCAAUUUCGGGAGAGGGCUCAAGUCAUUUAAAUCACCCCCCCGUGUUUAAGAGGUAUUUAUGUUAUCGAUGCCGAAAGGAUAAAAAGCAAUGUCAACUUCGGUGUCCAUUUUCUGAGUCCCCGAAGACGGACGAAAUGCCGCUAUGCUUUUUGUUCGCUAUGCUCACCGCCUUAAUAUGGUAUGGCACAGUGGCAUGAAUUAUUUGCUCAAUAUGCCGAUUAGUAAAAUCGAACUACGCACCAUUUGUCUCUGAGGUGAAGCCGUUUACCACUUAGCUAUGCUUAUACCAACAAAAAAAGAAAAUGAAAAAAUGUUAGUGGUGGCUGUGUGGUAAGUAGCUUGAUUACCAACCACAUGGUUCCGGGUUCAUUCCCACUUCAUGGCACCUUGGGUAAAUGUCUUCUACUAUAGCCUCGGGCCGACCAAAGCCUUGGGAGUGGAUUUGGUAGACGGAAACUGAAAGAAGCCCGUCGUAUAUAUGUAUAUAUAUAUAUAUAUAUAUGUGUGUGUGUGUGUGCGUGUUUGUGUGUCUGUGUUUGUCCCCCUAGCAUUUCUUGACAACCGAUGCUGGUGUGUUUACGUCCCCGUAACUUAGCGGUUCGGUAAAAGAGACCGAUAGAAUAAGUACUAGGCUUACAAAGAAUAAGUCCUGGGGUCGAUUUUCUCGACUAAAAGAUGGUGCUCCAGCAUGGUCACAGUCAAAUGACUGAUACAAGUAAAAGAAUAAUAGUUGUCUUUAUAUUUUGUUUAGUUUUAUGGUUAUUUUUAAUGUGAAGAUGGACAUCUCCAUAUCAAAGUGUGAGGCGUGAACCUCUUUCAUUCGUUGUCUUGUCAUAUUUCAGUAGUAGUAGAAGCACUCCGUCGGUUACGACGACGAGGGUUCCGGUUGAUCCGAUCAACGGAACAGCCCGCUCGUGAAAUUAACGUCUAAGUGGCUGAGCACUCCACAGACACGUGUACUCUUAACGCAGUUCUCGGGGAUAUUCAGCGUGACACAGAGAGUGACAAGGCCGGCCCUUUGAAAUACAGGUACAACAGAAACAGGAAGUAAGAGUGAGAGAAAGUUGUGGUGAAAGUGUACAGCAGGGAUCGCCACCAUCCCCUGCCGGUGCCUCGUGGAGCUUUAGGUGUUUUCGCUCAAUAAACACUCACAACGCCCGGUCUGGGAAUCGAAAUCGCGAUCCUACGACCGCGAGUCCGCUGCCCUAACCACUGGGCCAUUGCGCCUCCACUGUCAUAUUUUAUUUUCUUAUUAAAAAGAUAAAUGCGCCCUUUUGUUUCCUUUCCCAUUUCAACCAUAAACAUCUCAUAUGUUAUGAUAUUCCGCCGUGGUCGACUUUGCCUUUCAUCCUUUCGGGGUCGAUUAAAUAAGUACCAGUUAUUCACUGGAGUCGGUAAAAUCGACUUAAUCCGCUUGUCUGUCUUUGUUUGUCCUCUCUGUGUUUAGCCCCUUUUGUGUAGUAAAGAAAUAGAAAUAGAUAUUGUUCUAUGUAUACUACAGUACAGGUGUGCGUUAGCUUUUGUAGACAGGAUAGAUGCCGUUCAAAGUAAAUAUUUAUCUCAACAUCUUAAUAUAGUAUAGUCGCAGGCGUGGAAGUGUGAUAAGAAGUUCGCUUCUCAACCAUAUGCUUCCCGGUUCAGUCCAUGGAGUUGACUCAUCACCUUGGGCCGACGACAGUGUUGUUAGUGGAUUUGGUCGACGGAAACUGAAAGAAACCUGUGUUUGAUAUAUAUAUAUAUAUAUAUAUAUAUAUCCGAAGAAUGGGAUAUCUGACUCGCUAGAAAGAGCAGUUAAAACUCUAAGCCACCAAUUGCAGGGUCUAGGAUUAAGGUAAAAUUUUUUAUUUUCCAAUCACUUUCGGAAUUACAACAAUUGGUGGCUUUGAGUUUUAACUGCUCUUUCUAGCGAGUCAGAUAUCCUAUUCUUCGGGUAUCUCUGUGUUUCAAUGCACACUGUAUUCUUCUCUGAAUAAUGUAUUGUCUAUUGACUGGUAACUAAGAAUUUUUCGAUGAAUAUUCUUGCUACCAUAAGAUUUUAAUUAAUGAUAAUAUAUAUAUUAUAUACUAUACAUACACGUAACUGUGUGUCUGUGUGUACUGUAUCUGAAUUUGUUUCCCAGUACCGCUUGCCAACAGGUAUUUCUGUGUUUAAGUCCACGUACUUAGCGGUUCGGCAAAAGAAACCAAUUGUAUAACUACUAGACUUAAAAAACAAAAAUUAAUGACUUGAUGGAACACGACAAAUAGGUAAGACGAACUAUGUUCAAGUACUGUCUGCCUCUGUAUGUGUUAUGGGCGAAUCUUGUACAACCCCACGUGACCGAAAGAGGGCGAACGGAUUUCGAUAAAGAACUCUGUUGUGAACUAUCGAGGGUAUUGGACAGUGUUAAUCGACUGUUUUGUCCACUGUGUAAGUUCAACGUGUGUUGGUUUAAUAUCGUACGUACGCUGGAGUAGUACGGAAUAAGUUCUGUGUGAACAUAAUAAUUCUGCGAUCGGUUAUUUUAAAUAAACCACAAUCUAAAUCUAUAUUUGUGUGAAGCUAAUUUACACCCGACGUGUACACCCACGUUAUAACAGUAUAUACAUAUGUGUGUAUGUGUUUUGCGCUUUGUUGCCCGCAACAGCUUGACAGAGUUGUUUUGUGUACGUCUUCGUAGCCUAGCAUUUCGAAAUUACAGACAGUAUAUGCACCCGACUGUAAACUAUUUAAAUACUGAGUCCCUUCAUUCGACAAUUUUAAUUGAGUGGUUAUUGCAUUAAGAUUAAGAGUGAUUCUCUAUCUGUAAUAUAUAGCUGGCUAUUCGCCCUCAGGUCAUAGCUUAUUGACUCUGAAACAAAAAAAUGACGCAGGAAUCACGCAAUAAUACAGGGUCAGGCAAAAUGAUCUGACACAUUUGUAGGUUAAAUAAAAGGCAUUGUUUUUCGUUUCUUUUUCAGUUGCUGCCAUGAAUUGGACUGGUGAGCAUCGCGCUUUCAUUGUGGAAACGCUUAUCAAAACAAACGAUUCUGUAACUGCAACACAAAGAGCGUUCCGUUUGCACUUCAAUCUUGGUAGACAUG
rnacentral:lncRNA from 1 species